GCAACGUGGCGCAGCGGAAGCGCGCCGGGCUCAUAACCCGGAGGACGUUGGAUCGAAAGUGAGUAGGAUAUUCACCUGACCAUGAGCA
rnacentral:tRNA from 1 species